rnacentral:rRNA from 1 species
GAACGCUGGCGGUAUGCUUAACACAUGCAAGUCGAACGGCAGCAUGUUCCUCACUCAAAUCACUUUAAUUUCUUUUUGGAAAAGAAAUACGGAAAGUGAUUUGAGUGAGGAAUGAUGGCAAGUGGCGGACGGGUGAGUAAUAGGUAGGAAUCUGUCCUAGAGAGGGGGAUAACUUUCGGAAACGAGAGCUAAUACCACAUGAUAUUGAAAAAUCAAAGGCAGGGGACCUUUCGAGGCCUUGCGCUCUAGGGUGAGCCUGCAUCGGAUUAGCUAGUUGGUAGGGUAAAAGCCUACCAAGGCGACGAUCCGUAGCUGGUCUGAGAGGAUGACCAGCCACACUGGGACUGAGACACGGCC